GAUGAACGCUGGCUACAGGCUUAACACAUGCAAGUCGAGGGGAAACGACGGGGAAGCUUGCUUCCCCGGGCGUCGACCGGCGCACGGGUGAGUAACGCGUAUCCAACCUGCCUCUGACUGAGGGAUAACCCGUCGAAAGUCGGCCUAAUACCUCAUGGCAUCGUCUGCGGGCAUCCAACGACGAUUAAAGAUUUCAUCGGUCAGGGAUGGGGAUGCGUCUGAUUAGCUUGUUGGCGGGGUAACGGCCCACCAAGGCUACGAUCAGUAGGGGUUCUGAGAGGAAGGUCCCCCACAUUGGAACUGAGACACGGUCCAAACGCCUACGGGAGGCAGCAGUGAGGAAUAUUGGUCAAGGGGCGGGAGCCUGAACCAGCCAAGUAGCGUGCAGGAUGACGGCCCUAUGGGUUGUAAACUGCUUUUAUGCGGGGAUAAAGUGAGGGACGCGUCCUUCAUUGCAGGUACCGAAUGAAUAAGGACCGGCUAAUUCCGUG
rnacentral:rRNA from 1 species